AGGUGGGAGUAGAGCUUCAGUCCAGAGCCGAGAGGCGCUAGCGACGGCUGGACUGCGAGGUGGGCUCAGUGGGCGGCGCCGAGCUAGGCUCUGCUGGGAGGCUUGGACAGCUGGGGGCUGCCACUCGCCCCACCGGGUCCCGGCGCACAAAGCUGCACGCCUCGCCGCAGCUCUGUGCCCUACUUCGCGCUCCGGA
ensembl:misc_RNA